rnacentral:rRNA from 1 species
ACAACAGCUGGAAACGGCUGCUAAUACCGCAUAAGCGCACAGCAUCGCAUGAUGCCGUGUGAAAAACUCCGGUGGUACAGGAUGGGCCCGCGUUGGAUUAGGUAGUUGGUGGGGUAACGGCCUACCAAGCCGACGAUCCAUAGCCGACCUGAGAGGGUGACCGGCCACAUUGGGACUGAGACACGGCCCAAACUCCUACGGGAGGCAGCAGUGGGGAAUAUUGCACAAUGGGGGAAACCCUGAUGCAGCGACGCCGCGUGAGCGAAGAAGUAUUUCGGUAUGUAAAGCUCUAUCAGCAGGGAAGAAAAUGACGGUACCUGACUAAGAAGCCCCGGCUAACUACGUGCCAGCAGCCGCGGUAAUACGUAGGGGGCAAGCGUUAUCCGGAUUUACUGGGUGUAAAGGGAGCGUAGACGGCUUUGCAAGUCUGAUGUGAAAGGCGGGGGCUCAACCCCUGGACUGCAUUGGAAACUGUGAGGCUUGAGUGCCGGAGAGGUAAGCGGAAUUCCUAGUGUAGCGGUGAAAUGCGUAGAUAUUAGGAGGAACACCAGUGGCGAAGGCGGCUUACUGGACGGUAACUGACGUUGAGGCUCGAAAGCGUGGGGAGCAAACAGGAUUAGAUACCCUGGUAGUCCACGCGGU